UGUCCAGACACGCCGGCGUGUGAUUUCACAUUGUUUUGAGCAAAUUGCAGCUUCUGAUGAUGGGAAUCUAAUUCCCACCGUGCUCGUGGAGGGAGGGGUAGAAAGAGGAGGGAACCGUUACCGAGGCAGCAGCCGUCCUGUGGCAUGGCAGCGCGUGUGCCUGCGUGGUGCCACUCAUGCAGACACUUCCACAUGCGCCCGCACACGUCCAGGGAGGGGGCAUCCUAAUACACCAAAUUGCUGAUACACAUCACUCAGAAGAGGAACAACAACCAUAUUUAGCUGCAGUGUGUACAUGGCCUUUGAGAGACACUAGUGGUACACCGUGGAGCUGUCCCAUAACCUGAUCCCUGUGCUGCCACUCACCUGGGAGGCGUGCUGCUCAGUGAUAAUGGCAGUGGGAGAGCCAGAAGCGGCUAUCCGCCUCCGGUGAUGCUGAAAUGGGAUUUGGGCUGUGUUCGGGCGGAAGAGGUUAUUACGGAUCAGGGGGGCCUGGUUUUGAAGCGGAGCUGAACUGGGCCGCGGUACAACUACAACCGCUGGGAUGUCUGUUAGCUUUCCUCACUAACAAUAGCAGAUAAGACAAAAGUGGUUGUUUGCCGUCUCUCUCUUACACACUGGCCCAUUAAAGGUGUGCUGUUAUCUGAUAAGCCGUGAGGGGUGUGAUCACCUACACACACAAAUACACACCUCCAGUCUCUCAUUCAGGUGCUCACUUAUGACCUCAAACCUGUCUCACUCGGUCCACGGUGCAACCACUGAAAGAGAGAGAAACUAGGGUUGUUUUGUGGCUCUGUUUUUUCCCCGUUGUUUUGCUCCCGUGCAAGUACUCUCCCAGCUUAUUUUCCUUUAUUCUUAUCGUUCCAUCUGGCUGCUAGUCACACAUUAAUCUAAAUUCCAAACAGGGUUCCUCCAGUGGCGUUAUCAACUCGCCGUUGAUGUGAGCGUUGGCCCAGGAGAGGGGACGCGGGCAGAGGGGGGAAAAAACAACACACAGCACAACAAAUUGAUGUGGAUGUGGGAGUGAGUGAGUGAGUGAGUGAGAAAGAGAGAGCUUGCAUGCAUGCUUGACUAUUGUACAAAGCUGCAUCAUGACUUCAGUACAGGUGUGAGACUUAAUCACAGGUAUAAAACUUUUCUCAGAAGACUGUCUCUAUAUAAUUCGCAUUAUAUAUUCCCACUGCACGUUUGUCUAUAAAUAUAUUACAUUGUUGUCCACUUCUGAUGGUGUAGAACCAGGAUUGUUUAAACGG